CGGUCCAGACUCCUACGGGAGGCAGCAGUAGGGAAUCUUCCGCAAUGGGCGAAAGCCUGACGGAGCAACGCCGCGUGAGUGAUGAAGGGUUUCGGCUCGUAAAACUCUGUUAUUAGGGAAAGAGAACAAAUGUGUAAAGUAACUGUGCACAUCUUGACGGUACCUAAUCAGAAAGCCACGGCUAACUACGUGCCAGCAGCCGCGGUAA
rnacentral:rRNA from 1 species